rnacentral:misc_RNA from 1 species
AUCGGAAUGAACUUUUGUUAUUCAGGUACUGUAUGAACUGUAUAUCGAACUUAGAAGACGAUACGAGAGUACUGUACUGGAAUUUAGGGUUUAUAUUUAUUGGAAUGAAAUUAAUUUGAUUAUGUUUGUGUUUCUGUACUAUGUAUGUAUUUUGUUCAGCAUUCUGAUUAUAAUUUUAAUACGAUGUGCAAAGUUGGAAAA